UACGAAGGGUGCUAGCGUUGCUCGGAAUCACUGGGCGUAAAGCGCGCGUAGGCGGCUUUCUAAGUCUGGGGUGAAAUCCUGGAGCUCAACUCCAGAACUGCCUUUGAUACUGGAGAGCUCGAGUCCGGAAGAGGUGAGUGGAACUGCGAGUGUAGAGGUGAAAUUCGUAGAUAUUCGCAAGAACACCAGUGGCGAAGGCGGCUCACUGGUCCGGUACUGACGCUGAGGUGCGAAAGCGUGGGGAGCAAACAGG
rnacentral:rRNA from 1 species